rnacentral:rRNA from 1 species
AUAUUGCGCAAUGGGGGAAACCCUGACGCAGCAACGCCGCGUGAGUGAGGAAGGUCUUCGGAUUGUAAAACUCUUUUCUUAGGGAAAAAUGUCUUGCGGGUUAAUACCCCGCAGGAGUGAUGGUACCUAAGGAAUAAGCACCGGCUAACUUCGUGCCAGCAGCCGCGGUAAUACGAAGGGUGCAAGCGUUAUUCGGAAUCAUUGGGCGUAAAGCGCGCGCAGGCGGAUUGAUAAGUCAGGUGUGAAAUCUCGGAGCUCAACUCCGAAACUGCGCCUGAAACUAUUAGUCUAGAAUGUCGGAGGGGGCAGGGGAAUUUCACGUGUAGGGGUAAAAUCCGUAGAGAUGUGAAGGAACACCGGAGGCGAAGGCGCCUGCCUGGACGACUAUUGACGCUGAGGCGCGAAAGCGUGGGGAGCAAACAGG